CAAGGGGAAGUACAGUGUCUGUUCAGGUCUGCACCUUAAAGAGGCAGACAAAUCCUUUAUAAGCAGCUGGCCUUACUAGAUCUGCGGAUGUGUGAUAACCUCAUGCACCAGGUGAUUCAUUCUCAUAUAAAAAUGUGAUACCACUCAAGACAAGAGCUCGGGUGCAUCCAGGCUCUCCUGAAAGGAUGGCUCUGCAGCCACCCGUGUGCUUAGCACCUCACUGCCUAGCACUAGUGAGAGCAGUGCCUAGAAGUGCAGGCAGCAGCUCUGCCCUCCAGAACUUCACAACAGUUGGAGCAGCAGGAGGCCAUUUAGAAACGAAAACUCAUUUGCUGAAUGACAGAGCAGUGAUUGAAAUCUUGAGCCUUCACUCACCUGAGUUUAACAGAGCAUUACUCCCCUCUGGCCUGCAAGUUGCGCAGUCAUUGCCACAGCAGGGAGGACACUUGGCAGACCUGGCAAGGCUCCACAUCCAUUUCACACUGCAGGAAUGCAUACAGUUGCCCCAGGUGCAGGACAAAGGUGAACAAGCUACCAGCCUUUCCUUCCAUUCAUGGAGGUGCCUCAGUGACUGCAGCAGGAUUUCUAUAUUGAGAGUUUUGCAGAGGAAAUGUGCAGUGGAGUGCAAGAGCUAUGAACAGCAUUUUAGCAAUGCAGAAUGCAUCUGUAGAUUUGGUGAUGGAUUUUAUACUUGUCUGCAGCCCUCUCAACUGUGCCUUCUAGAUGACCACCUUCUCAAAGGUGUUAGGGGCCAGGUGAAGCAAAGUGCUGCUGCAACAAGCUGCUCUGCCAGCCUGAGGCCACCCAAUUGGUAGGUUCAGACAAUGCAGUUUUGGGAAAGUCCAGCUUAAAAUGGUCUCUUUGAACUGCUGAAGCACUGUGUUCCUGGAGAGAGACAAAAACACACAGCUAAUGUGGAAGCAUCGAGAACAGUCAAGGUGACAUGGUCCGUCACAUUCUUAAGACUUCUGUGGUUGCUUUUCAAAAAAUAUGUAAUGUCUUGACAAACUUGAAUAACCUUUACCUUUGUUUUCCUUUCUUCUAUGAAAAAAUUUGAAAGUCUCAAACAUAGAGAAGCUGCAUGAAUAGCCUGCUUUAAUAAGUGGAUUUUCAUCUUGUCAAAUAUGGCUUGUAGGACAUAACAUCUCUUCCUUAGAUUUAAUAACAUAGUUAUUUUUACCAGUUUGUAUUUAAAACAUAUGGCUGCUUACUGGCUCAGGGCAGGAGUGCAAUACUGAUUUCUCAUGAAUAUGAUGAAAUCUUGCACCAUUGUCUGGCAGAGAAAAGAAUAGAUGAGUCAACCACACAGCAGUGCUCUUCCUGAAGUCAGUCCGUGCAGCAGAGCCUACCUGCAGGAAUUGUUCCUUUUGCUCAUCGAUGACUUUGCUUUCUAAAAUGCCCUCAAGUUUCUCUGCAUCACCCUCCGAAGUCCUAGUCGCUCUGUUGCUCUGUUGUUCCCAAGUGUGUGUUGAACCCUUGAGUGAAACGGCUGUUUCUCUUGGAAAGCCUUCUGAAAGCUAUCCUUUCCCAGGAAGAAAGAAGAUUCUGUAAGUCUGUCCCAGAAGACUCAUGCUGUUUGUUUACUUGUUUGGCUUCUCUUGGUUUGGUUCCUUGGGGAAAUGUCCUGCAGGGAGUCCAGCUGUCAUCUGAUUAUAGCACUGGCAGUGCUCCUAGUUUCCCAGUGCACUACUUAUCUUUCUUCUCCUGCACUGGACAGCAUCACCUACUCCCUAGUUUGUUCUGCACAGGGGUACAGGGGUUCAGGAAGUGAAGGAGAAAUGCCUACCUGUGCCCUAAAAGGGCUGCGUUUGGAAUUCCCACCCAAAGAGCCCAAAGCUCAAGUGUUUCAGCAGUGAGCAUCUCUUAUUGCCAUUGUCACCGUAUUACUCUGUGUACUUACUACACCUAUUUUUGUAAUGAUCAUUUGUUAUGCUUUGUCUUUUAAAUAGCCUUGACUUCAUAAUAACGUUUUUAGCUCACUUGAGGAUCCGAAAGGAUCACUUACAAAGAUAAGGUAAGAACAGCAGAGUCUCAGGAUUUCAGCCCAGGGGCUUAACCUCCCAAAGUGAUCUCUGAGUAAAAGAAUUUUAGGUUAGUCUUCAUCCAUGUAUUCCACAAGUUUUACCAAAGACUCUCAUGGAAGGUUGAUGCAUGACUGUGGCACUGCAUCAUGCUAGCUAGCGUUACAAGGUUUGCUUCAGCAAAAUCACUGAAUUUGUAUUGAUUUAAUUUUAGCAUAACAUAAUGGAAAAUAGGCACAUAAUUACUGAUGUUCUGGUCAGUACUGUGAAUUUUUUAAUAAAAGCAGUUUUGAUGAACUAGUGCCGGGAACAAACUGUCCAUUAUUUCAGACUGUCUCCAGUGCUUUGCAUAUUGAGCACUCAUAGAUAUAUGUGCCAACUACAUGUCAGUUCUGUUCUGUCAUCAUUUCACACCUGCUCUGCAUAAAAGCCAGCAGCCAGACCAGGGGACAGCAAGAAAGAGCAGCCCCUUUGAAAGCAGCCUCCUUGCCUGUUCCUCUGACACCGGCAGCCUGCAGGUCCUGGGAGACAGUCAAAGAAUCAUAGAAUCAUGGAGUCAGCUAAGGCUGGAAAAGACCUCUAAGAUCACCCAGUCCAACUGUCAGCCCAUCCCCACCAUGCCCACUGACCAUGUCCCUCAGUGCCACAUCCACACGGCUCUUGAACACCUCCAGGGACGGUGACUCCACCACCUCCCUGGGCAGCCUGUGCCACUGCCUCACCACUCCUUCUGAGAAGAAAUUGUUCCUAAUAUCCAACCUGAACCAGUCCUUGGUGAAUGAGGCAUACGCAGGCCUUGGGGACAAGGAGAAGUAGCAUAGUCCCUUCUCCAGCUUCAUUCUACACCUGUGGGACAAGCAGCACUGGAGACAGCAGAGGGGUUUCUGUCCCAGUCUUUCCAGAGAUAUUUCACUCUCCAGAGAAUCUCAACCGAAGACCAGCAGAAAGUGCCAACUUGUGUACACCCCAUGAGCAUCCACCAUAGGGAGUACACCAGCACUCCACACAUCGUCUAUCUUUUAGACUACAAACACUGAGACUAUGACCAAGAAAACACCUCCCUACAGAGCAGCAUGGGGCCAUGCACACAGCCAUGAGACAUGCACCACUGUGCUUGAAACACUGCCUAGAAAUUUGCCAGGAGAGGUUGUCUUUCUAGGAGCAGUUGUGGGGGUGGAAUAAAGCUGUGUGCACUGGUAAGUUAAGAACAGCUCCAGGCCUAAUGACUGUUUUAGCAGUGACCUGGAGAUGACACAAACCCAGGAAAAGUGUGCUGUUUGUGCUCAUUGGUUUAUUACCACCCAUUGUCUAAAAUAAAGAAAGUCAAAAAGAUUGUUAAACCCUGCGGUGGUCUCAGGUACUAAAUCUCCCAAACAAAUAAUUCCGCUGCUUGUUGUUAACACAUCCCAGAAAUGUGAAACAAAAGGUACAAGCGAUGUGUUGCUCCCCUCUCUAAUUCUAAAUGCAGGUUUUCAGACAAGAUGUCUCUGAGCACAAAUUCAUUACAAAGCAGCAACAAUGGAGAGGCGAAGAGAAAUAAAAACUCCACAUCUCUCUGGGGAAGUACAAUCCAUUUCUAACACUUUUCUGCUUUUGUGUAGACAGCUGUCAUUGGAGGGUAAGCAGACACAACAGAACGAUGAGCUAUUGCCAAGCCAUGGUUAAAAGAAGAAAGGCUGAUGUGAGAUUGUACUGUUCUUCAGUUUACAGUGCAAGAGGGGAAAAGAACGACAGCGGUCCAAGGCACAGAGGCAGGAAGAAUUGCCUUCAGUUGUAUAAAAGAUGGACAAUUGGCUCUCUGCAUUAUGGAAAGAUCCAGAUUAAAUAUAAUAAUUAGCACAGAAUGGAAAUGGAUGUUUCUUUCAUACCAAAUAGCAAUUACCGAGGAAGCCUGGCUUUAGAAGCUAAUGUGAGUUUGUAAUGAAUAGGGAACCAAGGAGCAGGUAUACAGGGUGCAAUUUAAUCAUCCCGAGGAUAUAAGGGGCCAUGGUCAGCUCCAGUCAGCAUGAUGGAAUGAAAAACACAUGUAUUAAAAUAUCAAUAAAGGGAACAAUGCAGCCAUUCAAAGUGUGGGCUAAGAGUUAGUCACCAUGUAUUUCUCCAGUCUGAGUGGUGCUACCAAAUCAAAAGCUAUUCAUUCCACUCACCCAGGAAGUAAAAAUUAAAAGAAAUGCAUUGUCCCCGUACUUCCAUUGGAGUGCCUGCAAAUCCUCCUUAAGGAUGGUAGUGACUCAGAAAUGUCCAAUCCUCCGCAGCCAUGGUGGGGAGGGGGAUCACGUCCUACAUGGCUGCUCUAUGCAUUAGGUUUACCAGGUGGGAAAAAUUAGAAAUGCUGGUGUUUCUAAGGCAAGCAGAGAAAAGUGAUAUUUAGGGGAGGUGAUGCUUGGGAGAAAGGGAGGAGUGGGUUAGAUCUUCAGGGGAAGGCAGAAAGACAA